rnacentral:rRNA from 1 species
GAAGGCUGAAAUUCGCCUUCAUGAAGCCGGAAUUGCUAGUAAUGGCAGGUCAGCAUACUGCCGUGAAUACGUUCCCGGGCCUUGUACACACCGCCCGUCACACCAUGAGAGUUGGGAAUACCCGAAGCCUGUGAGCUAACGUUAAGAGGCAGCAGUCGAAGGUAGAAUCAAUGAUUGGGGUGAAGUCGUAACAAGGUAUC